CAUAUACUCCCUCCGUUCCGAAUUACUUGUCGCACGUAUGGAUGUAUCUAGAUGUAUUUUAGUUCUAGAUACAUCCAUUUCAGCGACGAGUAAUUUGGAACGGAGGGAGUAAUAA
rnacentral:pre_miRNA from 1 species